rnacentral:rRNA from 1 species
UACAGAGGGUGCAAGCGUUAAUCGGGAAUUACUGGGCGUAAAAGCGCACGUAGGCGGUUUUUUUAAGUCAGAUGUGAAAGCCCCCGGGCUCAACCUGGGAAUUGCAUUUGAAACUGGGGGAACUAGAGUGUGUGAGAGGGGGGGUAGAAUUCCAAGUGUAGCGGUGAAAUGCGUAGAGAUUUGGAGGAAUACCAGUGGCGAAGGCGGCCCCCCUGGCACAACACUGACGCUCAGGUGCGAAAGCGUGGGGAGCAAACAGG